rnacentral:misc_RNA from 1 species
CUGGCCGAGCUCCAUGUGAGGCAGUCCCAGGGCACACGGGCCUCGCGGUGGCCCAAGGACGUCGGGCGGAAGUCGCGCCGAGCUACUUCCCUGUCUACGCCAAGGACGCCCAACGCAGAGAAGAGGAUGCCCACCAGCGACGUCCCGUGCUGCGACCGCCACGCGAAGAAGGCUGACGGCAUGCCCCGCUCCGAUAUGCCCAACAGCUGGGACCGGGAAAAAGACAUGGGACAAAUAGAAGACAUCUAA